UACGGGGGGGGGCAAGCGUUGUUCGGAUUCACUGGGCGUAAAGGGUGCGUAGGUGGUGAGGUAAGUCGGAUGUGAAAUCUCCGGGCUCAACCCGGAAAUGGCAUUGGAAACUACCUUGCUGGAGGAUUUGAGGGGGGAUUGGAAUACUUGGUGUAGCAGUGAAAUGCGUAGAUAUCAAGUGGAACACCAGUGGCGAAGGCGAAUCCCUGGAAAAUACCUGACACUGAGGCACGAAAGCUAGGGGAGCAAACAGG
rnacentral:rRNA from 1 species